UACGUAGGCAGCAAGCGUUGUUCGGAAUUACUGGGCGUAAAGAGUGUGUAGGCGGUGCUCCAAGUCUGGUGUGAAAUCUCCCGGCUUAACUGGGAGGGUGCAUUAGAAACUGGAAUGCUAGAGGAUGGGAGAGGUAAGCGGAAUUCCUGGUGUAGCGGUGAAAUGCGUAGAUAGUCAGGAGGAACACCUGUGGUGUAGACAGCUUACUGGACCAUUUCUGACGCUGAGACACGAAAGCGUGGGUAGCAAACAGG
rnacentral:rRNA from 1 species